rnacentral:rRNA from 1 species
UACAGAGGGUGCAAGCGUUAAUCGGAAUUACUGGGCGUAAAGCGUGCGUAGACGGUUAUGUAAGUCGGGUGUGAAAGCCCCGGGCUCAACCUGGGAAUGCCAUUCGAGACUGCAUAGCUAGGGUGCGGAAGAGGGAAGCGGAAUUUCCGGUGUAGCGGUGAAAUGCGUAGAUAUCGGAAGGAACACCAGUGGCGAAAAGCGGCUUCCUGGUCCAGCACCGACGUCAGGCACGAAAGCGUGGGGAGCAAACGGG